AUUGAACGCUGGCGGCAGGCUUAACACAUGCAAGUCGAGCGGAGAUGAGGUGCUUGCACCUUAUCUUAGCGGCGGACGGGUGAGUAAUGCUUAGGAAUCUGCCUAUUAGUGGGGGACAACAUUCCGAAAGGAAUGCUAAUACCGCAUACGUCCUACGGGAGAAAGCAGGGGAUCUUCGGACCUUGCGCUAAUAGAUGAGCCUAAGUCGGAUUAGCUAGUGGGUGGGGUAAAGGCCUACCAAGGGGACGAUGUGUAGCGGGUCUGAGAGGAUGAGCCGCCACACUGGGACUGAGACACGGCCCAGACUCCUACGGGAGGCAGCAGUGGGGAAUAUUGGACAAUGGGGGAAACCCUGAUCCAGCCAUGCCGCGUGUGUGAAGAAGGCCUUAUGGUUGUAAAGCACUUUAAGCGAGGAGGAGGCUACUGAGACUAAUACUCUUGGAUAGUGGACGUUACUCGCAGAAUAAGCACCGGCUAACUCUGUGCCAGCAGCCGCGGUAAUAC
rnacentral:rRNA from 1 species